UACGGAGGGUGCGAGCGUUGUUCGGAAUUACUGGGCGUAAAGGGUUCGUAGGCGGGAAGGCAAGUUGAGUGUGAAAACCCUGGGCUUAACCCGGGACGUGCACUCAAAACUGUUUUUCUUGAGUAUCGGAGAGGGUGGUGGAAUUGCUGGUGUAGGAGUGACAUCCGUAGAGAUCAGCAGGAACACCGGAGGCGAAAGCGACCGCCUGGCCGAAUACUGACGCUGAGGAACGAAAGCGUGGGGAGCAAACAGGAUUAGAUACCCUGGUAGUCCACGCGGUAAACGAUGAUAACUAGAUGUUGGUCAGAGUUCAAUCUGAGCAGUAUCGUAGCUUACGCGCUAAGUUAUCCGCCUGGGGAGUACGGCCGCAAGGCUAAA
rnacentral:rRNA from 1 species